GAAAGAAUGAGUUUUGAAUUGUGAACCAUCCAGUCUACUUCUGCCUUCAGAAAAUGAAACAUCACAAACUUCAGAAACUUAAGAACUUGUUAGCUUGAACUCCAUCUCUAAGAAGGGGACAUGGGAAAGGACCUUUCCCACCAAGUCUUAAAUUAAUUCUUUAAGCUGUGAACCAGUUAAUCCUGUCUUUAUUAUUGUUGUAGCACAAACUGACUCAAUGGGAUGUCUGGACUGAACCAGAGGCAAGAACCUCUCCUCCCAAGCAGAGAGGAUUCCUGGGAGAAGCUCAUGCUGGAAUGCAGAAGGGAGUGGGCAAACCCAAAACACUGAGGCAUCAAACACACCAGAGGUGGCUUUUUGGUUCACUCCUGCAGAUAGAUUAUGCAGACAUGUUCAGCAUAUGGAGCAGAACAGAUCCCAACUCUGUUCAAUCAAAUGCAAAGUACCUUCAUGUGCUGCUGCUUCAGAGUGUGAACUCCCAGAGAAGGCAACGCAUUGAAGUGUAUUAUGAACUGAGAGCAUGAAAACACCCAGGUAGUCUUGGAAAAAUCAAGUUAAUCGAACUGAAGAAACUAAAAUCUACAAAAACCAGUCUCAGGCAGAACGCAGAGCCAGCAUCAGGUAUCCAGAAGAAUGAGUCAGUAAUAGAGAAACCUACAGCUUGUAACCAAAAUGCCUGGAGCUGUUUGCACUAAGUUAUCCUGAAUAAACUAUGUGUUGUGUAUUUCCUGAAGAGCA
rnacentral:lncRNA from 1 species